rnacentral:rRNA from 1 species
CCUACGGGUGGCUGCAGUGGGGAAUAUUGGACAAUGGGCGAAAGCCUGAUCCAGCCAUGCCGCGUGUGUGAAGAAGGCCUUCGGGUUGUAAAGCACUUUCAGUGGGGAAGAAAGCCUUGGGGCUAAUACCCUCGAGGAAGGACAUCACCCACAGAAGAAGCACCGGCUAACUCCGUGCCAGCAGCCGCGGUAAUACGGAGGGUGCGAGCGUUAAUCGGAAUUACUGGGCGUAAAGCGCGCGUAGGCGGUCUGAUAAGCCGGUUGUGAAAGCCCCGGGCUCAACCUGGGAACGGCAUCCGGAACUGUCAGGCUAGAGUGCAGGAGAGGAAGGUAGAAUUCCCGGUGUAGCGGUGAAAUGCGUAGAGAUCGGGAGGAAUACCAGUGGCGAAGGCGGCCUUCUGGACUGACACUGACGCUGAGGUGCGAAAGCGUGGGUAGCAAACAGGAUUAGAUACCCUUGUAGUUC